AGUGAACGCUGGCGGUAGGCCUAACACAUGCAAGUCGAACGGCAGCACAGUAAGAGCUUGCUCUUACGGGUGGCGAGUGGCGGACGGGUGAGGAAUACAUCGGAAUCUACUUUUUCGUGGGGGAUAACGUGGGGAAACUUACGCUAAUACCGCAUACGACCUACGGGUGAAAGCAGGGGAUCUUCGGACCUUGCGCGAUUGAAUGAGCCGAUGUCGGAUUAGCUAGUUGGCGGGGUAAAGGCCCACCAAGGCGACGAUCCGUAGCUGGUCUGAGAGGAUGAUCAGCCACACUGGAACUGAGACACGGUCCAGACCCCUACGGGAGGCAGCAGUGGGGAAUAUUGGACAAUGGGCGCAAGCCUGAUCCAGCCAUACCGCGUGGGUGAAGAAGGCCUUCGGGUUGUAAAGCCCUUUUGUUGGGAAAGAAAAGCAGCAGGUUAAUACCCCGCUGUUCUGACGGUACCCAAAGAAUAAGCACCGGCUAACUUCGUG
rnacentral:rRNA from 1 species